rnacentral:rRNA from 1 species
GCCUGAUCCAGCCAUGCCGCGUGCAGGAAGACGGCCCUACGGGUUGUAAACUGCUUUUAUACGGGAAGAAUAAUUGCCUUGCGGGGUGAGAUGACGGUACUGUAUGAAUAAGCAUCGGCUAACUCCGUGCCAGCAGCCGCGGUAAUACGGAGGAUGCGAGCGUUAUCCGGAAUCAUUGGGUUUAAAGGGUCCGUAGGCGGUUGUGUAAGUCAGUGGUGAAAUCUUUCAGCUCAACUGAAAAAUGGCCAUUGAAACUGCAUAACUUGAGUUAUUGUGAAGUAAGUAGAAUGUGUAGUGUAGCGGUGAAAUGCUUAGAGAUUACACAGAAUACCGAUUGCGAAGGCAGCUUACUAACGAUACACUGACGCUGAGGGACGAAAGCGUGGGGAGCGAACAGGAUUAGAUACCCUGGUAGUCCACGCCGUAAACGAUGGAUACUAGCUGUUCGUGUCGCGCGAGCGAUGUGAGUGGCUAAGCGAAAGUGAUAAGUAUCCCACCUGGGGAGUACGGCCGCAAGGCUG